CAAUGAGUUUGUUCACAGGGGGUGGAGUGUGUAGGGGAUGUCCUGAUAUGUGUGUAAGGAAUGCAUUGUGUGAAAUUGUGUUUGUAUGUGUAAGGGCUGCAAGGUGUGUUUCUGUGUAUGUAUGGGAUGCAUUGAAUGUGUGUAAGGGGUGCAUUGAGUGUGUGUAAUGAAUGCAUUGUGUGUUUCUGUGUGUGUAAGGGAUGCAUUGUGUGUAACGGUUGCAUUGCUUGUGUAUGUGUGUGUGUGUAAUGCAUUGUGUGUUUUUCUGUGUGCAAGGGGUGCAUUGUGUGUAUGUG